rfam:Picea glauca, whole genome shotgun sequence.
ACAUGCCUACAACAUAGCAUUAAUGCAUCGGAUCCCAUUAGAACUCCGCAGUUAAGCGCGCUCGAGCUAGAGUAUUACUGCGAUGGGUGACCGCCUGGGAAGUCCUAGUGUUUUACAUGCC